rnacentral:rRNA from 1 species
AUGCUGACAUAAGUAACGAUAAAGCGGGUGAAAAGCCCGCUCGCCGGAAGACCAAGGGUUCCUGUCCAACGUUAAUCGGGGCAGGGUGAGUCGACCCCUAAGGCGAGGCCGAAAGGCGUAGUCGAUGGGAAACAGGUUAAUAUUCCUGUACUUGGUGUUACUGCGAAGGGGGGACGGAGAAGGCUAUGUUGGCCGGGCGACGGUUGUCCCGGUUUAAGCGUGUAGGCUGGUUUUCCAGGCAAAUCCGGAAAAUCAAGGCUGAGGCGUGAUGACGAGGCACUACGGUGCUGAAGCAACAAAUGCCCUGCUUCCAGGAAAAGCCUCUAAGCAUCAGGUAACAUCAAAUCGUACCCCAAACCGACACAGGUGGUCAGGUAGAGAAUACCAAGGCGCUUGAGAGAACUCGGGUGAAGGAACUAGGCAAAAUGGUGCCGUAACUUCGGGAGAAGGCACGCUGAUAUGUAGGUGAAGUCCCUCGCGGAUGGAGCUGAAAUCAGUCGAAGAUACCAGCUGGCUGCAACUGUUUAUUAAAAACACAGCACUGUGCAAACACGAAAGUGGACGUAUACGGUGUGACGCCUGCCCGGUGCCGGAAGGUUAAUUGAUGGGGUCAGCGCAAGCGAAGCUCUUGAUCGAAGCCCCGGUAAACGGCGGCCGUAACUAUAACGGUCCUAAGGUAGCGAAAUUCCUUGUCGGGUAAGUUCCGACCUGCACGAAUGGCGUAAUGAUGGCCAGGCUGUCUCCACCCGAGACUCAGUGAAAUUGAACUCGCUGUGAAGAUGCAGUGUACCCGCGGCAAGACGGAAAGACCCCGUGAACCUUUACUAUAGCUUGACACUGAACAUUGAGCCUUGAUGUGUAGGAUAGGUGGGAGGCUUUGAAGUGUGGACGCCAGUCUGCAUGGAGCCGACCUUGAAAUACCACCCUUUAAUGUUUGAUGUUCUAACGUGGACCCGUGAUCCGGGUUGCGGACAGUGUCUGGUGGGUAGUUUGACUGGGGCGGUCUCCUCCUAAAGAGUAACGGAGGAGCACGAAGGUUGGCUAAUCCUGGUCGGACAUCAGGAGGUUAGUGCAAUGGCAUAAGCCAGCUUGACUGCGAGCGUGACGGCGCGAGCAGGUGCGAAAGCAGGUCAUAGUGAUCCGGUGGUUCUGAAUGGAAGGGCCAUCGCUCAACGGAUAAAAGGUACUCCGGGGAUAACAGGCUGAUACCGCCCAAGAGUUCAUAUCGACGGCGGUGUUUGGCACCUCGAUGUCGGCUCAUCACAUCCUGGGGCUGAAGUAGGUCCCAAGGGUAUGGCUGUUCGCCAUUUAAAGUGGUACGCGAGCUGGGUUUAGAACGUCGUGAGACAGUUCGGUCCCUAUCUGCCGUGGGCGCUGGAGAACUGAGGGGGGCUGCUCCUAGUACGAGAGGACCGGAGUGGACGCAUCACUGGUGUUCGGGUUGUCAUGCCAAUGGCACUGCCCGGUAGCUAAAUGCGGAAGAGAUAAGUGCUGAAAGCAUCUAAGCACGAAACUUGCCCCGAGAUGAGUUCUCCCUGACCCUUUAAGGGUCCUGAAGGAACGUUGAAGACGACGACGUUGAUAGGCCGGGUGUGUAAGCGCAGCGAUGCGUUGAGCUAACCGGUACUAAUGAACCGUGAGGCUUAACCUUACAACGCCGAAGGUGUUU